UCCCUGGUAGCUCAGUGGUAGAGCAAGCGACUGUUAAUCGCUUGGCCGUAAGUUCGAACCUUACCCAGGGAGCCA
rnacentral:tRNA from 1 species